ACCGACAGACGGGUGGGUCAUUUAGAGACCGACCGACGGGUGGGUCAUUUAGAAAACGACCGACAGACGGGUGGGUCAUUUAGAAACCGACCGACAGACGGUGGGUCAUUUAGAAACCGACCGACGGACGGUGGGUCAUUUAGAAACCGACCGACCGACGGGUGGGUCAAUUAGAAACUGACCGACCGAUGGGUGGGUCAUUUAGAAACUGACUGACCGACGGGUGGGUCAUUUAGAAACCGACCCACCGACGGGUGGGUCAUUUGGAAACCGACCCACCGACGGGUGGGUCAUUUAGAAACCGACCGACGGACGGUGGGUCAUUUAGAAACCGACCGACGGGCUGGUCAUUUAGAAACCGACCGACCGACGGGUCGGUCAUUUAGAAACCGACUGAGCUAAUUAAACUGUUAAGCUAUUAAGCCGCUCCCCCUGUUCCCAGGAUGUACAUUGCUCCAGGAUGUUAAACUCUUCCUUUGUGACAUUUCUGAAGGCGACAGCUUUUGUUUGUUGUUUUCUUCUAAUCAGCCCUCGAAGUACCGCACAGCCCAGUUUGUAUUCUUAAUGGUGUUUUGCUUUGUUGGAGAUUUUCUCUUCGUCAUUCAAUACAUUAUUUUUCACAUCUGCAUGCCUCGGUAGUAUUUCCUGGGUAGUAUAUUAUUUUCUCCUCCCCAUUCAUCCAUAUUCAUGCUGCCGAAAAGAGCAAAAUAAAUGUUCCACUCACACGUUUUAGUUUUCGCAAAACAAAGUAUUGAUUUAGCUGUUGCUAUGACAACCAUCUGAAUUUGCUGUCGGUGAUGGUCGCACCCAUUCGCAAUUAUAUGGGACAGUUCAAUAUCGAAAAGGUCAGAGAGACAGACAACGAGGUGCAUACUAAUCUCUGCUGUUGGAAACCAAGUGUUAGUCUAAAAGAAAUGUGAGAUAAUGUCUAGAUGCUUUUCUAUAGUGGAGCUCAAGUUUAUACAUUGCCCGGCUGGGCUGAUGAGACAGUGGAUUGCAGCAGUCAGAUGGAACAGAGUAAAUAGGCAUUUUAACAUCUCAGAUUUAGCCGGUGGCAACUUGUGGAAUAGACACCGGCUGGAAUGCGGUUUCACCCAAUCAGCAUUCAGGAUUAGACUCACCAGUAGUAUUAAAAUAUAAUAUUAUCUCCAGUUCUCCUUCUCCUCGUUGCAAGCACCAUGCUCUACCAACUGAGCUCCAGAGGAACUCUAACCUGAUCUGUUUCCUCUCUCUCUCUCUCUCUCUCUCGCUCUCUCGCUCUCUCUCUCUCGCGCUCGCUCUCUCUCACUCUCUCUCUCUUGCGCGCUCUCGCUCUCUCUCUCUUUCUCUCCCUUUCUUUCUCUGAGUUUGUAUCUUAGUCACUUUAAAUCACUGUCACCACCUAAUGCCCCCCACUUCCCAACCGAUCCAGGACCAGCGUGUACCCCACAACAACGGUGUCACUACUGACGGCGGCAACAAUGAUGAUAACAACAUCAUCAAUAAUGGCAGCAACAACAUCAAUGGCAGCAGCAGCAUCAAUAAUGACAGCAACAACAACAGCAUCAAUAAUGACAACAACAGCAUCAAUACUGACAGCAACAACAACGGAUCAUAUUUACAUAAGUAUUCAGACCAUUUACUCAGUACUUUGUUGAAGCACCUUUGGCAACUAUUACAGCCUCAAUAUUUUCCUCAAUUAUCAGGUCUCUCCAGAGUUGUUUGGUCAGGUUCAAGUCCGGGCUCUGGCUGGACCACUCAAGGACAGUGAGACUUGUCCCGAAGCCACUCCUGCGUUGUCUUGGCUGUGUGCUUAGCAUUGUUGUCCUGUUGGAAGGUGAACCUUCUCCCCAGUCUGAGGUCCUGAGGGAUCUGAAGUAAGUUUUCAUCAAGGAUCUCUCUGUACUUUGCUCCUUUCAUCUUUGCCUCGGUCCUGACUAGUCUCCCAGUCACUACCUCUGAAAAACAUCCCCACAGCGUGAUGCUGCCUCCACGCUUCACAAUAGGGCUGGUCCCAGGUUUCCUAUAGAUGUUGACUCUUGGCAUUCAGACCAAAGAGUUCAAUGUUGGUUUCAUCAGACAAGAGAAACGUGGUCUGAGAGUUCUGUGGAGAGCUCUGUCAGAGCUCCAUCGGGUUUUUGGUCACCUCCCUGACCAAGGAGCUUCUCCACCGAUUGCUCAGUUUGGCCGGGCGGCCAGAUCUAGGAAGAGUCUUGGUGGUACAAAACUGUGUUCUUGGCAUCCUUCGAUGCUGCAGAAAUGUUUUGGUACCUUCCCCAGAUCUGUGCCUCGACACAAUCCUGUCUCGGAGCUCUACGGACAAUUCCUUCGACCUCAUGGCUUGGUUUUUGCUCUAACAUGCACUGUCAACUGUGGGACCUUAUAUAGACUGGUGUCUGGUAAUUUACCACAGAUGGACUCCAAGUUGUAGAAACAUCUCAAGGAUGAUCAAUGGAAACAGGAUGCACCUGAGGUCAAUAUCAAGUCUCAUAGGAAAGGGUCUGAAUACUUAUGUGAAUAAGGUCUUUCAGUUAUAUAUAUAUAUAUAUAUAUACACACACACACACACACACACAGUGGGGCAAAAAAGUAUUUAGUCAGCCACCAAUUGUGCAAGUUCUCUCACUUAAAAAGAGAGUGGAGGACAGAGGAGCCUCUUAAAGAAGAAGUUACAGGUCUGUGAGAGCCAGAAAUCUUGCUUGUUUGUAGGUGACCAAAUACUUAUUUUCCACCAUAAUUUGCAAAUAAAUUCAUUAAAAAUCCUACAAUGUAAUUUUCUGGAUUUUUUUUCCCUCAUUUUGUCUGUCAUAGUUGAAGUGUACCUAUGAUGAAAAUUACAGGCCUCUCUCAUCUUUCUUGUUUACACUUCAUCAUUACGGGGUAUUUGUGUGUAGAUUGCUGAGGAUAUAUAUAUUUUUAAAUCCAUUUUAUAAUGAGGCCGUUAUGUAACAAAAUGUGGAAAAAGUCAAGGGGUCUGAAUACUUCCCGAACAAGGGGGUGUCUGUGUGUCUGUGUCAUCUGUGUGUGUGUGUGUGUGUGUACAUAUAUGAUUACCUUAAGACUCUUGGUGGGUGGAAGGAAGAUCGUUUGUUAUAGGAGGAUGGGUGUUGUAGAAACAGCCCACAUUUCAAACCAGGGACGGGUUUGGAUACAGAAGGACAGGAUUUUAACUUUUUCAUUUGAAACACAAAAAUGUUGUACUAUUUAUUAAAAAUAAAAUUACGUCAGGAAAUGUUUGGUUUUUGUUCAAAAUGUAAAUGUCAACUUUAGGUCAAUUGGCAUUUCUUAUUUUGCUACACUGGUGUGUGGGUUGUUUGUAUGUGUAGCACAAUAUAUUGCUUUCUGCAUGGGAUACUAUUGUGAGAGAAUGACUACAC
ensembl:lncRNA